rnacentral:sRNA from 1 species
GCAUACACGCAUGCACUCACAAAUGUUCUGUGUUUACAGAGGUCAAAAACAUGAAAUUAACAGAGGGAACUAGGGCAAGAAUCAUAAAAUGGCUGGCUCUUAUUUCUAAGAAUCUUCCUUUUCAAAGGAAAUAAGUUGGUUGGCUAGCUCCUUAAGGCUGAGUGUUUCGAAACGUGGGUGUCGAGAUGAUAAUGGUAGGCUCUAAGGGUGCUUCCUAGAUGUCUGAUUGUAUGGAUGGUCAGUUGGUGUUCCUUCCCCCAAAUUCAGAGGAUGAGUCUUAACCUCCAGUAUGAUUUUAUGAGGGGGCGAUUAGGCGAUGAGGCUGGUCUGCCAUGAUGAAUUAGUGUCAUGAAAACUAACCAUCUCUCCUGGCCACAGCAGGAAUAACCAGAAGAGAGCCAUUCGCAAUCCGGAAGCAGCUCAGACACAGACACUUGAUAACAACCCUGACCUUGAUCUUUCCAACCUCUGAAGCCAUAAGAAAUAAGCAAGUGUUGUUGAAGUCAUUCUGGGUGUGCCGUUGGGAUGAUUGGAGCUGGAACACCAUGAGGAUGCCUCUGGAAGGAGUCUUGCUUAUCUGAUUUCCAAGAGUUAUCCCCUAAAAGUCCAGAGGCAAACCUCGAAGAAGAUGCUACGUGAGGUAGGUUACAGCCUGGUGAGUAACGUCCCAAAUGCGGCAUGAGAAAACCUCAUCUUUGCAGAAAAACUGAAAUGCAAUGUUAGGAAAAAGUCUUUUAGGAAAAAAAAGUGGGCAUAAAAUUAUUCCUCUAGUAUUUAAAAAACCCAAAUUAUUCAUUUAUUUUUGUAUCUGAGAUGUUUGACAUUUGUGUGGAUAUUAUUUUUGAAACAAGGAAUGAAUGCAGACAGUUGGGGGCCAAUAAUGAACAAUUGGACUAAAAGCCAUAACCGUGAGCUUAGGGGUACCCCAGGAAUGGUGCUGUUAUUGUGAAAAAUAAGUGUUUUGAAAAAUAACUUGAAAUUCUUAAGAUAGAUCUACCAUUUACAAUUCCACGUGACUGCCGUGGUCGAAGUAGGAUUGACUCGUUAGUCUCCAUGGCUCCAGUCUCUGAAGGUAUGGGUAUUUAGUGUAUGGAAAGCCUUUGGAAGAUAAUUCUCUACCAGUGUGCAGUGAGUCCCCAGUUAAAGUGCUAUAAUAGUGUAGGCUUUCUCAAUUUCCUGUCUGGCAUGAGAGCAGCUUCAUUCCAUAAACAUCAUCAUUAGUAGAAGAGGGGAAAAAAUAAAUGGAGAAACUUGAGACUGUCCAGUGAGUGAGCUCUGCUGUAGGAUGCGGACUGGAUAUCUACCCUGAGGAUGAAGUAGCAGAAAGUUUGCCACGUCUGAUUAUAAAGUGGGCUCUUUUGUAGCCGUUUUCCUGAACCCCUGGAAUAAAGAGGGUUGAUUUGUGAUGGAAUCUCCAGUGCCUGCAGGCAUAUAUUACAGUAUGUUGUAAAUCCAGAGGGUACAAUUUAGAUUUCACGGGGGCCUGGGGGGUAAUUGAAAUUCCAUCUGUUUCUUCCCUGUGGGUUAGAAUCCUAAGACACGCACUCAGGAGAAGAUAUAGGAUUUGCAGUUUUUAAUUUUUAGGUUUAAGUAGAAGCUCACCUAAAUCUGUUCCUCCCUCCUUUUACAUCCUACGUUCAGUUUAAAAAAGAAGAAAAAGAAGAAAGGAAAAAAACUCAGUUUUAAAAGCAGCCAGCCUUUAUUUUCUUCACAGCUGCCCCUAGGCAGCCCCCCUUCCUUGCAGUGCAUGCUGGGUAAUGCCAUGUAUUCUUAGGUUUCCAAUGGCUCCCAUUACUGUCAAUUAGUUACGGAAUGCUACAGAGAUUCAUGCCUGACAGCUCGGGUAAAGGCAGGAGAAAUGGGCUCAGUAGGGAGCGAGGGGCCUGAUUCUUUUUUGUCCACAAGAAAUACCUUUCUCAGCAAGGCUUUUAAUGGCUUUCUCUUCUUUCUUUUCCUCUGCCUGGGCACUCCCCAUGAUCCUAACACACACCAUAUACACAUACACUCAUAUAUUCAUAUGUCAAUGUGUUUGUGUGAAUAUCACAGAAGACUGUGAAAGCUCUUGGGGCAGAAGGCUCUGAAGUAGUUAUACAACCCCUUAGAGCGAGCUUUACAUUCCUACUUAGAUCUUGCUCUGACCAGAUUCCUAACUCGGGUCCCUUCAGGUGACUUGUUCCUAAGUGCUGUCCCAGCCUCUGUUUCACUUGAUAUCAUUUUCUUUGGCAUCUCUCUGACUUCUAAAGGAGAAGCACGUUCAGGCCACAGAUCAUGGGCAGAGCACUGGGCUUCAAUUCCUGGAGUUUAGGCAGCGAAUUCUGCCUGACCAUCCCCACCACUCCCAUGACCUUUAACUUCUUUUUCUCCCUCUUCUUUUUUCUCUUCUUUUGUGACAUCUCCUUUCCCUCCUUGGAAUCACAGAGGACAUUGUUACUCAGGAGAUUUUUCUUUGACUCCUGUAUCAUCUUUUCCUCCCUUCCUGACUUGCCUAAUAUUUAUCCUAACACAUUUUCUGUCACUUUAGCAUUCACUCUCUCACCAUGAGCUUGGAACACCUGACCUGGGUAUUUGAAUAGAUUCCUCCCUCUCCUCAAAUAUAUUUGAGCUUAAAUGCGACCAACACGGAGAGUUCUUCCUGUGUGAAUGGGAGCUGAUGGUGCUAGGAGCCACAAUUCCUGCUCUGUUGUCCCUCCCAUGGCCCCAUGUUCUCUCCAGAGCCCAACGUAUUGUCUAAAGCUGUAUUCCUCAUCUAUAUAUUCCAAUCUCAUUUAUUAUAGCGAGACUUCUUUAAGACAAAUGAUUGUCUUGUUCAACAAACAAACCACAUCUAGGAAUACCACCAUCCGCAAGCAGGAGUUCAAUAAUGCGGCUUAAAAACAGAUUGAAAUGUGUUUUCAGAAUUAUGGAAAACCUGCAUUAGACCAGAAGACUUUUCUUCUUCUGAGUCUGCUGCCAUUGCUCUUUUAUACGAGCCACCAGACCUUCCUCAUGAUUCAAAACAAAGAAAGGUUUAGGAAAGACCUGAUAGGAAAAUACCAGAUGCUAAUAAAACACAAUGAGCACAAUGCUUAAAGUCGUCUGUUCACCCAGAUGGAUACGAAAGCAAGGAUGGGCUAAAAAUAGCAGGAGAUGACACACUGGAGAAGACACGGCCUGCAGCCAUGUGUGCCUGGGUUAUUCAUAGUCUCAGCUCCUUCCUUCCUGGAACCUGGCCUAGUGAGGGACUCACCAAAGGCUGGCAGAGGGAGACAGUCCUAUUCUGUCUCAUCCAGCCAUCUGUGGAAGGCAGAGUAGGGAGGCCCAAGAAAAGGGUAUUGUGGUAGAAGAAAUUAGGGCCAGGUUCUUGGGCCUUAGAGCCCAAGAGUUAGGCUGCAAGCUUUUAUUUCCUGGGUAUUGUAGUCAGGGAACUACUGAGAAGACCCUAUUCAGAAGGGUUUGACAGAAAACUGUCGAGGCUUUACACUGUCAACACAUUUGAGUUCUUACUAAUGAUACCAUCUGAAGUAAGUAGCCAAUGCUACCUCAAAAGCAAAUCUGCUGUAGUUCUCUGUCCUUCAAACUCUAAUAUGCCAACAGCUGACAUGGCAGCUCACUAAAAAGGCGAUUCUGAGAAGGAUCUUGAGGCUCCACAUUUGGAAGACAUUCUCCAGAGAUACCCUUGUUGCCAGUCCACUGACUCUCAAGUCGUAAGAUAUCACUUUACCAUCCUGUCACACAUUAAAAAGUGAUUUGUAAUGAUAAAUUGUCUUUAACCCGAAUUAAAUAAGCAAUAGUCAUUAUCAUAUCUGUAAUUCUACAGAUCAAAAAAAGAAGAUGUAUUUGUAUCUACGGUCCAUGCAUUUUUUUAAGAUAAGCUAAUCUAGGAAGAGCUAUGAAAUAAUAACACACAGCCUAGAUGUACUAAUGUGGUUUAUCCAGUGGAUUUUAUGUAUAGACGAGGCAGAAAUUAUUAAAUGAGUUUUCCUCUCCAAUGGAUUUGUUUUCACAUGAAAAACACCAAUGGCACUGAGUGGUGAAUGAGGUCGGUUGGAGAACAGUCUUGCUGUCUACCCAGCUCCUACUUUCUUGAAGUUAUCGAAGGAAGGUCACACGGGCUGCACCCUGGACAUGGAGACGUGGAACAGAGAGAAGUUGAACUGAUUCUCUCACAUUGUAAGACUUGAAAGUUAACGCUCAUUACCCUGCCCAGAAUGAGACAGGAAGGCGAUACCUAUCUACCUUCUGGGCCAGCGGUGGAACACUGUGCUGGGCGUGGCAAGCUGGGCUAGGAGGCAGAGACAAGAUGCUCUGUGAGAGAUGAAAGUUACAGCCCUCAAGGAGAAGGCACCCAACGAGAUGCCAGCCCCACAGCUCAUUGACUGCGAAUGCAGGAAGAAGUCUGAGGAGUGCCUUCUGUGACUGACAGGGGGGUCUCUCAUUCUGGACUGAUCUCUCCCUUUCAUCCUCAUACUCAAGAUGCCAUGCCACCUCAGGCCACUCAACCCUGGGAGAAGGGCUGGCUCUGCCAUUUUUUGGUGUGUGACUUGACCAAGUUGCUUGGGACAGAGGAACCUCAUUUCCCUCAUGCAACAGAGUGAGAUGCUCAUAGGGAGAGCGCCUGGAAUAAGCAACUGCAGGACAUUCCUGUCUUUCAUCUCUCCAAUCUAAAGACAAAACCUGGGUCAAUGAAAUGGCUCAGCAGGUAAGGACAUCUGCUGACAACUACUAAGCCAGCAAGCUGGACAGCAGGAAUUUGAUCCUUGGAACCCAUGUCCCGAAUCUAUGAACUACUGAAGAGUGGGAAAUUGGUUGAAUGGCCACAUAUCUCUAUUGUACAGAUUCCACUCAGUUUGGUUGAACAAACCUGAAACUCCUCUGAAUUUACAAGGUGAGACCCCAGUAGACUGUACUGUCCAUCUCUUAAGCUUUAGGGCCACUGCAGUGGUGACUAAUAAAGCCACCGAAGUGAGCUACCAGACAAUAGUAGAUUCUUUCUUUCCCACCAUUACGCUUACUGCCUUGGUCCUAUUGCCUGUGACUGAGACUAUAUCCCCUUUGGUUUUGGUGAUUAAUUCUGCCUCUUGAAUUCUUCCACUCCAAGAUCCAAUCAUUCACACUGAAUUCAUAAGGAAUUAACACUUAGCUCAACUCACUGCCUUACUCUGGAAUUAUUUGGACCAGUUAGACGGCACAUAAGAAGAGGUGUUUCAUAAAAACACCCCUUAGGCAUGUUUUUCUUAUAGACUAGGUAACACGAAUGUCCUCUGAAUCCUCUUGGGGGACAAGCUAGGAAGGAACAGUAUUACAAGAUAAAUCCAUGUUCAGAUUUCAUGAAACCUUCAUAUACCUUCCUCUUAAGUAUUCUAACCCAAAUGUUUUAGUCUCAGACUCUUUUGCAGUUUCAAAAAUUGCAGAGAACUCUAAAGAGAUUUGAUUUGGGUGAUAUCUACAACUACCUUAUAUGUUUUUAAAAAUUUAAAGCUGAGAUGUUCAAUAAACAGUCCAUUGAUGAAAUACCAAAAUGUACUAAGCGUUUGAAAGGUUAAUUACAAUGUGAAAUGGAUAGUACAUUGAUUCUUCCUUCUGUUGAGAUCCAUUGGUUAAUCUUGAACUUGGAAAGAUCCUUUUAUUGAUUUGUAUUUAUUUGUAACAUUAUAUUGUGGUCACUUGCAAAAUACUAGUUCACCGAGUUAUCCAGCUAUCUGAAUUGCCAACUUCUUUCAUCAUUAAAGACGAAUAUUAUUCAAGGUUAAAAGUCCCAUUUGCUAAUAUCAAAAAUUAUAAUGAUCUCAAAGCUUAUGAUGGUGGAUAUGUGUUUUCCAAAUCCCAUUUUCAGUCUGCUGGUCCAGAGGGACACAGGUUCAAUUUCCAGGACCUACAUUGAAGCCCAACUGUUGUCUUUU